rnacentral:rRNA from 1 species
GUGGGGAAUCUUGCGCAAUGGGCGAAAGCCUGACGCAGCCAUGCCGCGUGAAUGAUGAAGGUCUUAGGAUUGUAAAAUUCUUUCACCGGGGACGAUAAUGACGGUACCCGGAGAAGAAGCCCCGGCUAACUUCGUGCCAGCAGCCGCGGUAAUACGAAGGGGGCUAGCGUUGCUCGGAAUUACUGGGCGUAAAGGGCGCGUAGGCGGACAGUUUAGUCAGAGGUGAAAGCCCAGGGCUCAACCUUGGAAUUGCCUUUGAUACUGGCUGUCUUGAGUACGGGAGAGGUGAGUGAAACUCUGAGUGUAGAGGUGAAAUUCGUAGAUAUUCGGAGGAACACCAGUGGCGAAGGCGGCUCACUGGCUCGAUACUGACGCUGAGGUGCGAAAGCGUGGGGAGCAAACAGGAUUAGAAACCCGUGUAGUCC